CUUGCUUCUCUUGAGAGCGGCGGACGGGUGAGUAAUGCCUAGGAAUCUGCCUGGUAGUGGGGGAUAACGUUCGGAAACGGACGCUAAUACCGCAUACGUCCUACGGGAGAAAGCAGGGGACCUUCGGGCCUUGCGCUAUCAGAUGAGCCUAGGUCGGAUUAGCUAGUUGGUGGGGUAAUGGCUCACCAAGGCUACGAUCCGUAACUGGUCUGAGAGGAUGAUCAGUCACACUGGAACUGAGACACGGUCCAGACUCCUACGGGAGGCAGCAGUGGGGAAUAUUGGACAAUGGGCGAAAGCCUGAUCCAGCCAUGCCGCGUGUGUGAAGAAGGUCUUCGGAUUGUAAAGCACUUUAAGUUGGGAGGAAGGGUUGUAGAUUAAUACUCUGCAAUUUUGACGUUACCGACAGAAUAAGCACCGGCUAACUCUGUGCCAGCAGCCGCGGUAAUACAGAGGGUGCAAGCGUUAAUCGGAAUUACUGGGCGUAAAGCGCGCGUAGGUGGUUUGUUAAGUUGGAUGUGAAAUCCCCGGGCUCAACCUGGGAACUGCAUUCAAAACUGACUGACUAGAGUAUGGUAGAGGGUGGUGGAAUUUCCUGUGUAGCGGUGAAAUGCGUAGAUAUAGGAAGGAACACCAGUGGCGAAAGCGACCACCUGGACUAAUACUGACACUGAGUGCGAAAGCGUGGGGAGCAAACAGGAUUAGAUACCCUG
rnacentral:rRNA from 1 species